UGAAUACGAGACGCUAAGGCGUCGAAGUAGUGUAUGUCAGACUUCCAAGAAAAGCUCGCACUGUCAUAGGUAAAAAAUGCCUGUACCAUAACCGACACAGGUGGGUAGGUAGAGUAUACUAAGGGGCGCGAGAUAACUCUCUCUAAGGAACUCGGCAAAAUGACUCCGUAACUUCGGGAGAAGGAGUGCCUUAUUUAUAAGGUUGCAAUAACAAGAUCCAAGCAACUGUUUACCAAAAACACAGGUCUCCGCUAAGUCGUAAGACGAUGUAUGGGGGCUGACGCCUGCCCAGUGCCAGAAGGUUAAAGAAGUUGGUUAGCAUUCGCGAAGCUGAUAACUGAAGCCCUGGUGAACGGCGGCCGUAACAAUAACGGUCCUAAGGUAGCGAAAUUCCUUGUCGGGUAAGUUCCGACCCGCACGAAAGGCGUAAUGAUUUGGAUACUGUCUCGGAGAGAGGCUCGGUGAAAUAGACUUGUCUGUGAAGAUGCGGACUACCUGCACCUGGGCAGAAAGACCCUAUGAAGCUUUACUGUAACUUGAAAUUGAAAUUUGACUUUAGUCGCGCAGCAUAGGUGGGAGGCGUUGAGAAUAUUCUUGCGGGAAUAUAGGAGCCAUCAGUGAGAUACCACUCUUCUAAUGUUAGAUUUCUAACCUUGAACCAUUAUCUGGUCAAGGAACAGUUUCAGGCGGGCAGUUUGACUGGGGCGGUCGCCUCCCAAAUGGUAACGGAGGCGUACAAAGGUUUCCUCUGAACGGAUAGAAAUCGUAUCUAGAGUAUAAAGGCAUAAGGAAGCUUGACUGUGAGACUUACAAGUCGAGCAGGGACGAAAGUCGGUCUUAGUGAUCUGACGGUACUGAGUGGAAAGGCCGUCACUCAACGGAUAAAAGUUACUCUAGGAUAACAGGCUGAUCUCCCCCAAGAGUUCACAUCGACGGGGAGGUUUGGCACCUCGAUGUCGGCUCAUCGCAUCCUGGGGCGGUAGUACGUCCCAAGGGUUGGGCUGUUCGCCCAUGAAAGCGGUACGCGAGCUGGGUUCAGAACGUCGUGAGACAGUUCGGUCCAUAUCCGUGUAGGCGUUAGAAUAUUGAGAGGAGCCUUCUUUAGUACGAGAGGACCGAGAAGGACAUACCUCUGGUGUACCAGUUAUCGUGCCAACGGUAAACGCUGGGUAGCUAUGUAUGGAGUGGAUAACCGCUGAAAGCAUCUAAGUGGGAAGCCCACCUCAAGAUGAGUAUUCCCA
rnacentral:rRNA from 1 species